CAAACAAACACCGCUGAAGAUGCUCCUGCAACGUGCAACAGCAAAUUAAACCCCAAAGGAUUUCAUCACCCCUCCAACAGACCCACAGAAAGUCGGCAGGUUUCCUCACCUUCCCGAGCCCAGUCAUCCACUGUGGGGGAGCGUUUCUGUCCUUGGCUGAGGAAAGAGGAUGGAACAACCACACACUGCAGCCCAAAGUGGUACAGAGAAGGGACUGACAGCCAAGAGUGUGAAUAUUGACUCUUCACAGUCAUUCACCAAGGGACUCGCACAGAAAAGGACCAGAAAGCAAAGGAAGAGAUGCUGAAAUCCUCACCACAACUCAGGGCCCGGUUCAGAGGGGUGCUGCUCCGGGCAGGCCACUGACUGCUGCUGAGAACACACAUCUGCAAGGGGAAGGAACCUGCCUGCACCACUGCAGCCACCACCAACUGCCUCAGGGAGCCUCAUGCAGACCCCUUCCAGGGCCAGAGAGAGGAAUGCCUCUCCAUAGGCAGCUAUAUAUUGGUGAUAAAUAACAUCUCCUUAUCUAAAAUCAAAGGUCGGACAAGGAGUUGAAGAAGAGAGACGGCUAUAGCUUAGCUUAGAGAUGAGACACAGAUAAAGCCCAGGUGAUCAAGCACCCUACAGGUCUGCAGCUGCCCACAGAAGGGGUUUGGCAAAGUGAUCCAAGCAACGUGUGGCACGGAAAGAAGAGCUCCUGCAGAGCUUUGACAGCUGCAUAAAACUGCAUAAAGACUGAUGAGGAGCCUGUGGGGUGAAAUAAAGAGCUGGUUGUCUUCUGCUCUUUGCACUGAUUUGGAAUUCCUUUUGUCAAAGUCUCCAACAGCAGCUUUCUGGCUUCAGCAUCUCCCCUCCUGCAUGUCAUUCCUUAUCCUCUACACUCCGCAGUGACUCCUGUGCCAUCCACAGGUUCUGUGAGCACCACAAGCUUUCCUUCCUUCCUUUCUCACUCUGAAUCAUGUCUUUUAGCAGCUUACACCUCUUCAGCCCAAGUUUCCUGCCCGUAGGUGUGCUGUGUUGCUGCAGAGCAUGCAGAGGCCGAACUCGGCCUCUCCUCCCAUAUCCUGGCUGUGGUUGAUAACCAGCUCAGAAGCAGCCCACUGCCCAACAGGCCUUCUUCUGCACAGCCCUGCAGCUUCCAAAGCCCACACAGCCAGCCUGUAUUCUACUUAGGUCUGUGACCUUCGUUUCUCUCUUGGGCUUGAAGCAUUAAUCAUCACUAUGUCUCACCAAGUUCUCCUGCUUUGUAUCCCUAUAUGAUAUGGUAUUGCUUGUCUGCUUACACAAAUAAACCUCUUGUCCACCAUC